rnacentral:rRNA from 1 species
GGUUAAGCGACUAAGCGUACACGGUGGAUGCCCUGGCAGUCAGAGGCGAUGAAGGACGUGCUAAUCUGCGAUAAGCGUCGGUAAGGUGAUAUGAACCGUUAUAACCGGCGAUUUCCGAAUGGGGAAACCCAGUGUGAUUCGUCACACUAUCAUUAACUGAAUCCAUAGGUUAAUGAGGCGAACCGGGGGAACUGAAACAUCUAAGUACCCCGAGGAAAAGAAAUCAACCGAGAUUCCCCCAGUAGCGGCGAGCGAACGGGGAGCAGCCCAGAGCCUGAAUCAGUGUGUGUGUUAGUGGAAGCGUCUGGAAAGGCGCGCGAUACAGGGUGACAGCCCCGUACACAAAAAUGCACAUGCUGUGAGCUCGAUGAGUAGGGCGGGACACGUGGUAUCCUGUCUGAAUAUGGGGGGACCAUCCUCCAAGGCUAAAUACUCCUGACUGACCGAUAGUGAACCAGUACCGUGAGGGAAAGGCGAAAAGAACCCCGGCGAGGGGAGUGAAAAAGAACCUGAAACCGUGUACGUACAAGCAGUGGGAGCCUCUUUAUGGGGUGACUGCGUACCUUUUGUAUAAUGGGUCAGCGACUUAUAUUCUGUAGCAAGGUUAACCGAAUAGGGGAGCCGAAGGGAAACCGAGUCUUAACUGGGCGUUAAGUUGCAGGGUAUAGACCCGAAACCCGGUGAUCUAGCCAUGGGCAGGUUGAAGGUUGGGUAACACUAACUGGAGGACCGAACCGACUAAUGUUGAAAAAUUAGCGGAUGACUUGUGGCUGGGGGUGAAAGGCCAAUCAAACCGGGAGAUAGCUGGUUCUCCCCGAAAGCUAUUUAGGUAGCGCCUCGUGAAUUCAUCUCCGGGGGUAGAGCACUGUUUCGGCAAGGGGGUCAUCCCGACUUACCAACCCGAUGCAAACUGCGAAUACCGGAGAAUGUUAUCACGGGAGACACACGGCGGGUGCUAACGUCCGUCGUGAAGAGGGAAACAACCCAGACCGCCAGCUAAGGUCCCAAAGUCAUGGUUAAGUGGGAAACGAUGUGGGAAGGCCCAGACAGCCAGGAUGUUGGCUUAGAAGCAGCCAUCAUUUAAAGAAAGCGUAAUAGCUCACUGGUCGAGUCGGCCUGCGCGGAAGAUGUAACGGGGCUAAACCAUGCACCGAAGCUGCGGCAGCGACACUAUGUGUUGUUGGGUAGGGGAGCGUUCUGUAAGCCUGCGAAGGUGUACUGUGAGGUAUGCUGGAGGUAUCAGAAGUGCGAAUGCUGACAUAAGUAACGAUAAAGCGGGUGAAAAGCCCGCUCGCCGGAAGACCAAGGGUUCCUGUCCAACGUUAAUCGGGGCAGGGUGAGUCGACCCCUAAGGCGAGGCCGAAAGGCGUAGUCGAUGGGAAACAGGUUAAUAUUCCUGUACUUGGUGUUACUGCGAAGGGGGGACGGAGAAGGCUAUGUUGGCCGGGCGACGGUUGUCCCGGUUUAAGCGUGUAGGCUGGUUUUCCAGGCAAAUCCGGAAAAUCAAGGCUGAGGCGUGAUGACGAGGCACUACGGUGCUGAAGCAACAAAUGCCCUGCUUCCAGGAAAAGCCUCUAAGCAUCAGGUAACAUCAAAUCGUACCCCAAACCGACACAGGUGGUCAGGUAGAGAAUACCAAGGCGCUUGAGAGAACUCGGGUGAAGGAACUAGGCAAAAUGGUGCCGUAACUUCGGGAGAAGGCACGCUGAUAUGUAGGUGAAGUCCCUCGCGGAUGGAGCUGAAAUCAGUCGAAGAUACCAGCUGGCUGCAACUGUUUAUUAAAAACACAGCACUGUGCAAACACGAAAGUGGACGUAUACGGUGUGACGCCUGCCCGGUGCCGGAAGGUUAAUUGAUGGGGUUAGCGGCAACGCGAAGCUCUUGAUCGAAGCCCCGGUAAACGGCGGCCGUAACUAUAACGGUCCUAAGGUAGCGAAAUUCCUUGUCGGGUAAGUUCCGACCUGCACGAAUGGCGUAAUGAUGGCCAGGCUGUCUCCACCCGAGACUCAGUGAAAUUGAACUCGCUGUGAAGAUGCAGUGUACCCGCGGCAAGACGGAAAGACCCCGUGAACCUUUACUAUAGCUUGACACUGAACAUUGAGCCUUGAUGUGUAGGAUAGGUGGGAGGCUUUGAAGUGUGGACGCCAGUCUGCAUGGAGCCGACCUUGAAAUACCACCCUUUAAUGUUUGAUGUUCUAACGUUGGCCCCUAAUCGGGGUUGCGGACAGUGUCUGGUGGGUAGUUUGACUGGGGCGGUCUCCUCCUAAAGAGUAACGGAGGAGCACGAAGGUUGGCUAAUCCUGGUCGGACAUCAGGAGGUUAGUGCAAUGGCAUAAGCCAGCUUGACUGCGAGCGUGACGGCGCGAGCAGGUGCGAAAGCAGGUCAUAGUGAUCCGGUGGUUCUGAAUGGAAGGGCCAUCGCUCAACGGAUAAAAGGUACUCCGGGGAUAACAGGCUGAUACCGCCCAAGAGUUCAUAUCGACGGCGGUGUUUGGCACCUCGAUGUCGGCUCAUCACAUCCUGGGGCUGAAGUAGGUCCCAAGGGUAUGGCUGUUCGCCAUUUAAAGUGGUACGCGAGCUGGGUUUAGAACGUCGUGAGACAGUUCGGUCCCUAUCUGCCGUGGGCGCUGGAGAACUGAGGGGGGCUGCUCCUAGUACGAGAGGACCGGAGUGGACGCAUCACUGGUGUUCGGGUUGUCAUGCCAAUGGCACUGCCCGGUAGCUAAAUGCGGAAGAGAUAAGUGCUGAAAGCAUCUAAGCACGAAACUUGCCCCGAGAUGAGUUCUCCCUGACUCCCUGAGAGUCCUGAAGGAACGUUGAAGACGACGACGUUGAUAGGCCGGGUGUGUAAGCGCAGCGAUGCGUUGAGCUAACCGGUACUAAUGAACCGUGAGGCUUAACCUU